rnacentral:rRNA from 1 species
GUGCCAGCAGCCGCGGUAAUACGUAGGGUGCAAGCGUUAAUCGGAAUUACUGGGCGUAAAGCGUGCGCAGGCGGUUGUGCAAGACCGAUGUGAAAUCCCCGGGCUUAACCUGGGAAUGGCAUUGGUGACUGCACGGCUAGAGUGUGUCAGAGGGGGGUAGAAUUCCACGUGUAGCAGUGAAAUGCGUAGAGAUGUGGAGGAAUACCGAUGGCGAAGGCAGCCCCCUGGGAUAACACUGACGCUCAUGCACGAAAGCGUGGGAGCAAACAGGAUUAGAUACCCUGGUAGUCCACGCCCUAAACGAUGUCUACUAGUUGUCGGGUCUUCAUUGACUUGGUAACGCAGCUAACGCGUGAAGUAGACCGCCUGGGGAGUACGGUCGCAAGAUUAAAACUCAAAGGAAUUGACGGGGACCCGCACAAGCGGUGGAUGAUGUGGAUUAAUUCGAUGCAACGCGAAAAACCUUACCUACCCUUGACAUGGAUGGAAGCCUCGAGAGAUUGGGGCGUGCUCGAAAGAGAGCCAUCACACAGGUGCUGCAUGGCUGUCGUCAGCUCGUGUCGUGAGAUGUUGGGUUAAGUCCCGCAACGAGCGCAACCCUUGUCAUUAGUUGCUACAUUGAGUUGGGCACUCUAAUGAGACUGCCGGUGACAAACCGGAGGAAGGUGGGGAUGACGUCAAGUCCUCAUGGCCCUUAUGGGUAGGGCUUCACACGUCAUACAAUGGUACAUACAGAGGGCUGCCAACCCGCGAGGGGGAGCUAAUCCCAGAAAGUGUAUCGUAGUCCGGAUUGCAGUCUGCAACUCGACUGCAUGAAGUUGGAAUCGCUAGUAAUCGCGGAUCAGCAUGUCGCGGUGAAUACGUUCCCGGGUCUUGUACACACCGCCCGUCACACCAUGGGAGCGGGUUUUACCAGAAGUAGGUAGCUUAACCGCAAGGAGGGCGCUUACCACGGUAGGAUUCGUGGCUGGGGUGAAGUCGUAACAAGGUAACC